AUUGAACGCUGGCGGCAUGCCUUACACAUGCAAGUCGAACGGCCGCACGUGUGCUUGCACCUGGUGGCGAGUGGCUAACGGGUGAGUAAUACAUCGGAACAUGUCCUGUAGUGGGGGAUAGCCCGGCGAAAGCCGGAUUAAUACCGCAUACGAUCUACGGCUGAAAGCGGGGGCCCUUCGCUCCUCGCGCUAUAGGGUUGGCCGAUGGCUGAUUAGCUAGUUGGUGGGGUAAAGGCCUACCAAGGCGACGAUCAGUAGCUGGUCUGAGAGGACGACCAGCUACACUGGGACUGAGACACGGCCCAGACUCCUACGGGAGGCAGCAGUGGGGAAUUUUGGACAAUGGGCGAAAGCCUGAUCAAGCAAUGCCGCGUGUGUGAAGAAGGCCUUCGGGUUGUAAAGCACUUUUGUCCGGAAAGAAAUACUUGGCCCUAAUACGGUCGGGGGAUGACGGUACCGGAAGAAUAAGCACCGGCUAACUACGUG
rnacentral:rRNA from 1 species